UUUCCUAAAACCCCAGCAACUGUGUGUUUCAGUUUGCUUUGCAAAAUCAAAAUCAAAACUUUUUUAUUCAAAAACCUCCCAAAAAGAUCCAAUUUUAUCUCAUGAAUUUCUAUUGCAAAUCUCUAUGCAUAUACUUGUGUUUACGUAUAGUUCUUUGUUGCUUGACCAUGUCAAUCUUCAAUUCACUGUUCCGUCUUUCGCAGUGCGGUUUUAUCAGAUUGAUUGUUGGAAUUUGGAAUUGGGAGAACGUUGAUCUGCUUUCGGAAUUUGGAAUUUUGCUACAUAGGAGGAGUUGGAGAUGGGAGCUAACUGUUGUAAAUGUCACAAAGGAACUGUUGAAUCAGUUCAAGGCUCCAGCAUGUCGUUAACUGACCAGAAGAACCAAGCUAGAGACCUCAAGGAGAUGGUUGAAGAAGAGACAAGAGAUGCUGCUGGGCUAUCAGAACCAAUACCUCCAAGUCCUACCUCGAGCCUUUCAGAAGUUGAGGUCCAAGCUAGAGACUCCAAGGAGAUGGUUGUAGAAGAGACAAGAGAUGAUGCUGGGCCAUCAGAACCAAUACCUCCGAGUCCUACCUCGAGCCCUUCAGAAGUUGAGGUCCUAGCUACAGGCCUCAAGGAGAUGGUUGUAGAAGUGGCAAGAGAUUAUGCUGGGCCAUCAGAACCAAUACCUCCAAGUCUUACCUCGGGCCCUUCAGAAGUUGAGGAGAUAUCCCAGUCUGUAUGUCUGGGAUCACAAGAUGAGGCGUCAAGUUAUGAAGCAUCAAAUUUUCUUUGGAGUACUGGGUUUUUUCCUUACCCGAUUCCGUGUGGUUUUUACUCUGUGAUCCCGGUUGGGAGAUUGAAGUUUUCUAAAAACAUUCCUACAAUGGAAGAAAUUAAUGCUCUUGGGGAUCAUGAACGACUUAAGGCUGGUGUGAUUUGUGUAGAUUUUAAUAAGGAUAACCAGCUUGCGUUUUUGAAGAUGUUAUAUUACGGAACUGUCAAAGGAUUGCACUCAGAGCCGGUUAAAGUAAUUAAGAAAACUGCUAAACUGGUAGUAAAAGCAAAACCGAGUCUAUCAUUUGAUAGUCGUGGGUUUCCACUGCUAGGAAACAUCAAACAUGGUUCUUGUCGUGCUCGAGCAAUCCUCUUUAAAGUUCUAGCUGAUACUGUUCGUCUUGAAAGUAAGCUUGUAGUGGGUUUACCUAGUGAUCUGGGAUCUUCCUCUAGUGUCGACCCAUGUUAUCAUAUGUCUGUUGUGGUUGCGCUCGAUGGUAAGGAAAUGCUGGUCGACCUUAAGCGAUGUCCUGGUCAGCUUAAACCCUUCACACCCAGGGAAGUUUAUCUAGCUCAUGUCCCAACAGCAUGGCAGACUGGUUUUGUAGACAGGGACUCUUGUGCUCCACCAUUGGAGCCAAACAGUCCCAUGGAACGGUCGGGUUCACCAUCUGUGUUACAAUCCGGUUCAAGCUCUAACUCAAAUGGACCAGCAGAGCCGGAAACAGAGAGAAGAAGGAGUAGGCGUAUGAAGACUCCUGAGAUCUGCCCUGGAGAGGGGUCCCAAAUGGUAAAGUCAUUGAUAUAGUUGCCAUAUAAAGGAGCCCGGCUCAAAAUACCUGAAGCGAGCUUAUUGCAGAUUGUUGGUCGGAACCAAAGCAUAAGGCCGAGCUGUGAAGACUGUUACUGUUCUAAGAGAAACAAGAGUUAGAUUAAGGUGUUAGAAAUUCAUCGAGUUUUGUUCUCCUGAUCUCUCUGGAUUCUUCAUUGACUCUA